CAUCCUCCAAGGCUAAAUACUCCUGACUGACCGAUAGUGAACCAGUACCGUGAGGGAAAGGCGAAAAGAACCCCGGCGAGGGGAGUGAAAAAGAACCUGAAACCGUGUACGUACAAGCAGUGGGAGCACAGGUUUACCUGUGUGACUGCGUACCUUUUGUAUAAUGGGUCAGCGACUUAUAUUCUGUAGCAAGGUUAACCGUAUAGGGGAGCCGGAGGGAAACCGAGUCUUAACCGGGCGUUAAGUUGCAGGGUAUAGACCCGAAACC
rnacentral:rRNA from 2 species